rnacentral:sRNA from 1 species
GGCGCCGGGCGGAGGGGGAGAGCGCGGGCCGCGCGGGCGGGAAGCGAAGAGGCGGGCGGGCCAGCGAGGAGCGCGGAGAGAAAAGGCGCGAGCGGCCAGGAGGGCUCAGGCCGAGACACCUUGCAGCUGCCGCCGCCGCCACCGAGCCGCCGCGGAUCAAACUGCUCCAGCAGAGUGCAUCACCCGGACCCGGAGGGCCCCACAGCUACAGACAGUGGCAUCUGCAGGCAGGCCUGGGGCCUUCCAGGGGACUAGAGUGUACCUGGAAAGGGGACAUGUGCUGUCCCCAGCCACCCUGACCGGUGUGCCUCUCGCCUUCACAGUGUGCUCACUGAUCCGCCUCCAGGGCCACCGCCAUGUCGAGCCGCGGUGGGAAGAAGAAGUCCACCAAGACGUCCAGGUCUGCCAAAGCAGGAGUCAUCUUUCCCGUGGGGCGGAUGCUGCGGUACAUCAAGAAAGGCCACCCCAAGUACAGGAUUGGAGUGGGGGCACCCGUGUACAUGGCCGCCGUCCUGGAAUACCUGACAGCGGAGAUUCUGGAGCUGGCUGGCAAUGCAGCGAGAGACAACAAGAAGGGACGGGUCACACCCCGGCACAUCCUGCUGGCUGUGGCCAAUGAUGAAGAGCUGAAUCAGCUGCUAAAAGGAGUCACCAUAGCCAGUGGGGGUGUGUUACCCAACAUCCACCCCGAGUUGCUAGCGAAGAAGCGGGGAUCCAAAGGAAAGUUGGAAGCCAUCAUCACACCACCCCCAGCCAAA